UGCAUUAAAUGUUUAAAGUUUAAAUCCCAAUAUACGUAAGAUUGUUCGAUGAGUAACAACCACGAUUCGACGAAAAGAUCGUGCAAAUUUGAAUGAUGAAAUAAUAAUUAUUAAGAACGAAAAAUAAUUAAUUGUGUUUGUUUUUGGACAAGGAUGAUACCAGUAUCACUUGAAGCAUCUCAAAUAUUGCAACUCUUUAUGCAACUAUAACUUCUGAUGUACUUACAAUAAGAACCUGGUCCGACUCUAAUUUACUCUCUUUUAACGUGGAUAAGACGGUAGCAUUAUCCUAUAAAGGAGCUCUUGAAACCUUGCUUCUUACUAACAGUCAGAUCAGUAGGUCUCAUCGUCGAUAUGGUCUUCCUUUUAGAGUAAGCUGCCCAAUCCGAUGUUAUUUUUAAAUUU
rnacentral:lncRNA from 1 species